GGCUCUGUAGCUCAGUUGGUAGAGCGUUCGACUGAAAAUCGAAAGGUCACCGGAUC
rnacentral:tRNA from 1 species